AACCGAUGCAGCUGGAGGCCGCGCGCGAUGUGGAGCGCGGAGGAGCGGGCCGCGCUCGCGGCGGAGAACGCGGAUGGGGAACGCGGCGCCGACCGACGACUGCGACUCCUGGGGACCUACGUGGCCAUGAGCCUGCGGCCGGCUGCGGGCGCCUGGGAGCGUUGCGCGGGGAGUGCCGAGGCGGAGCAGCUGCUCCAGGCCUUCCUGGGCCGCGAUGCUGCCGAGGGGCCGCGGCCGCUGCUGGUGGUGCGGCCCGGGCCCAGGGGCCUGGCAGUACGACCCGGGCUGGAGGUGGGACCUGAGUCGGGCCCGGCUGGCGCUAAGGGGCUUUUUUUCCUGCGCACCGGGCCCGAGCCUCCAGGGCCCGACAGCAUCCGCGGCGCAGUGGUCUGCGGGGACCUGUCCGCGGCACCUCUGGAGCACCUGGCCGCGCUGUUCUCGGAGGUUGUUCUACCCAUCCUGGCCAAUGAGAAGAAUCGCCUAAACUGGCCCCACAUGAUAUAUGAGGAUGUAAAGCGGCACGCCCACAGCCUCCAAUGCGACCUCUCGGUUAUAAUUGAGCAAGUGAAGGGAAAAACUUUGCUGCCUCUUCCAGCAGGCUCAGAAAAAAUGGAGUUUGCGGAUUCCAAAAGUGAGACAGUCUUGGAUUCUAUAGAUAAGUCAGUCAUCUAUGCCAUUGAGUCUGCAGUGAUCAAAUGGAGCUACCAGGUCCAGGUGGUACUCAAGAGAGAGUCUUCCCAGCCCCUCUUACAAGGGGAGAAUCCCACCCCUAAGGUGGCGUUGGAGUUCUGGAAGAGCAGGUAUGAAGAUCUGAAAUACAUUUAUAAUCAACUGAGAACAAUAACGGUGAGGGGCAUGGCCAAGCUCCUGGACAAGCUUCAGAGUAGCUACUUUCCAGCUUUCAAAGCCAUGUACAGAGAUGUUGUUGCAGCUCUAGCAGAGGCACAGGACAUCCAUGUGCACCUGAUACCGCUCCAGCACCACCUGGAAACUCUGGAGAAUGCAGAAUUUCCAGAGGUGAAGCCCCGGCUGCGGCCCCUGCUCCACGUGGUCUGUCUGAUUUGGGCCACGUGCAAGUCCUACCGCUCCCCGGGGAGGCUGACUGUGCUGCUCCAGGAGAUUUGCAACCUUCUCAUCCAGCAGGCCUCUAAUUAUCUCAGCCCAGAAGACCUGCUGAGAAGUGAGGUAGAAGAAAGUCAGAGAAAACUGCAAGUGGUCUCAGACACUUUGAGCUUCUUCAAGCAAGAGUUUCAGGACAGAAGGGAGAAUCUCCACACUUACUUCAAAGAGAACCAGGAAGUCAAGGAAUGGGAUUUCCAGUCUUCUUUGGUCUUUGUGCGAUUGGAUGGCUUCCUGGGACGACUGCACGUGGUGGAGGGUCUUCUGAAGAUGGCCCUGGAUUUCCACAGACUGGGAAAGGUGGAGUUCAGCGGCAUCAGAGGGAAUGCCCUGAGUCAGCAGGUCCAGCAAGUGCAUGAGGAAUUUCAAGAGAUGUACAGGCUUUUCUCAGGAUCCUCCUCCGACUGCCUGUACCUCCAAAGCACGGCCAGGUGCAGUGGCUCAUGCCUGUAAUCCCAACACUUUGAUAGGACAAGGCGGGCAGAUCAUGAGGUCAAGAGAUUGAGACCAUCCUGGCCAACAUGGUGAAACCCCAUCUCUGCUAAAAAUACAGAAAGUAGCCAGGCGUGAUGGCAGGCGCCUGUAGUCCCAGCUACUCAGGAGGCUGAGGCAGGAGAAUCACUUGAACCCGGGAGACGGAGGUUGCAGUGAGCUGAGAUCACGCCACUGUGCUCCAGCCUGGCGAUAGAGGAAGACUCUGUCUCAAAGAAAGAAACAAACAAACAAAAAACUGUAUUGCUUUGCUCUCUCACUCAUAAGUGGGAGUUGAACAAUGAGAACACAUGGACACA
rnacentral:sRNA from 1 species